rnacentral:misc_RNA from 1 species
GCUAUCUAUCGGAUCGUUUUAGAAACAUUCAGGGGCCAACAGUUUCAGGAUUGUUGAGCUCCAUUGGCGGGGUUUCGCCGUCUUCGUUUCUCUUUCUUCGCGGACGAACACGCGCCAGGGGCUGAGCGCUGUGCGAUGCACCGACUUCAGGUCGAGUGCGCGCCGGCAUGUCUCUCGUGUUAGGGGCUUGUAGCUCAGUUGGUUAGAGCGCGCGCUUGAUAAGCGUGAGGUCGGAAGUUCAAGUCUUCCCAGGCCCACCAUUUUGAUCGAGUGCGGAGCAUUCGUCUUCUGGUACGGGGCCAUAGCUCAGCUGGGAGAGCGCGUGCUUUGCAAGCAUGAGGUCGUCGGUUCGAUCCCGUCUGGCUCCACCAGAUGGAAUUGAAGCUCGACAGUGCCUCGUUCAUUUCGUCCGCGAAACAUCACUUCGCACUCAUUGGUCCGGAUGGACGGUGACGUGCGUGUUUUCUGACAUCGUAAAGAGGAGAUCGAUCCGAGUUUGGAUCAAGCGAAGCAAUUCGCCUGAGCCAUUCAUUAUCUCCGGGAUCAUUUCGGCGCUCGCUUUCAAUCGCAAGAUUGGAUGCGGGUUGUAAAUGAUCCCUUUUAGCGAAGCUUGACCGCCUCGCUAUCGGGCCGAUCUUACGAAGCAAGCUGGUCUUUCUAGUCAAUGUCCGGCUGCGCAAUCGCAUUCAUCGAGGAUGCGUGCCUGAGACUUCGGUCUUCGGGCAGUUGUGCAGACAACAUUCUGCCGAGUGUGUGGACAUUGAUAAUGAGAGCAAUCAAGUGCCUUAAGGGUGUUCGGUGGAUGCCUUGGCGCUGAGAGGCGAUGAAGGACGUGCUACGCUGCGAUAAGCCGUGGGGAGCUGCGAAGAAGCUUUGAUCCGCGGAUU